GGUUCUCAUUUUUCGGCUCCGAUGCCCUCCCCCUCUAAUUUUUUUUCUUUCGUUUUGAUUAAUUUAAUUGAAGAAAAAUGUCAAAACUGAUUCUCUUCUUAUGUUUCCAUCAAUUUUAUUCUUGAAUCUUGCAAAAGACAAGUACAAUUUGGUGAAGGGGUUUCUUGUGUUUGAAUAUUUUAUUGUCUUUAUACAAAACAACAUUCAAGAAAUUGCUUAUGGUCAGCACACGAUUAAUGUGAGAUUUUAUGGAACAUGAGGUCAUUUUAACCAAAAAAAUUAAAAAUAAAUCAAAUCCUUGGAAUGUUACAAUCAGGUUGAAGAAUUUAUGAAAUUCUGGCGAUGCAGAAUUUUUGCUUUCUUGAAAAUUUUCAAGAUCCCAUUAAAGAGUUUCAAUAAUUGCUUGAAGUUCUAACUUCUCAUUACUUGAAGAAUUUGAAUAUGGGAAUUUUCCAGUUUAGUCGGAGCUAAAAUUUUGAUGGAGAAGUGAAGAAAAUGGUGAUAUCGGCGAAUAUAUGUCCAAAGGUUAAACAAUUAUAUCAUCAAUGGCAAUGGUGAUGAUGAUUCUGGUGGAUUAAUGGUGUGAGGAGAUUCAAAAAUGGUGAUAAAGAAUAAGGGCAAAAAAAUAAAGAUGAAGCAUAUUUUUUUAAUUAUUUUCGGAUAAAUACGAACUUUUAUGCGCUGAACUCGAGUGUGUCACGCUCUCCAUGCCAUGUCAGCUAAAAGUGUCAAAAUGACACAGUUUGUGGCUAGUUUAGGUGUCUAAAAUGAACAUAAUCAACUUAAGUUGUCAAAGUGAAAGAUCAUGCAAAGUUGAGGUGUUUAUCGAUGGAUUUGGCCUUUCUAAAAGGUAUGGUAUGGUAUGGUAUCUUUUCAUGAUUUGGUAACCAUGAAAUUCCUCAAUUUUUAGCAUCACCGAUUUGGUGGUAUCCCAUGAUUUUCUUUUUUUUUCGAUUAUGCCCUUACUUAAUAUUUUUUAAUUCUAUUUUACCCUUUAUCCUAUAUUACUUCUAACCCUAUGUUUUUAUUUUUACAUUUUUCCUAUGCAUUGUUCUCCUCUGCAUUCUUCAAAUUACAAAAAUGUAUAUUAGAACAACAUGUUAAUUAGCAUAUUAACAUCAUUGUGUUGAAUUUAAAUCUUGGCAGCUUUGAAAGAAUAUUUCAUG
rnacentral:lncRNA from 1 species